rnacentral:hammerhead_ribozyme from 1 species
AUCCAGUUGACGAGUCCUAAAUAGGAAGAAAUACACGUCCUGGAU